rnacentral:rRNA from 1 species
AUUCCAGCUCCAAUAGCGUAUAUUAAGGUUGUUGUGGUUAAAAAGCUCGUAGUUGGAUUUCUGGAUUGAGCGGCUGGCCUUGCGCGCAAGCGUUCGUGUCGGCUUCGUUUCGGUCCAUCCUCAGGGGGACUUGCGCUGGCAUUAACGUGUCGGUGUUGGGACGCCUGUCGUUUACUGUGAACAAAUUAGAGUGUUCAAAGCAAGGUGUACUUGAAUACAUUAGCAUGGAAUAAUAAGAUAGGACUUUGGUGGUUCUUUUUGAUAUUUUGUUGGUUUGCACGCCAAAGUAAUGAUUAAUAGGAGCAGUUGGGGGUAUUCGUAUUCAAUUGUCAGAGGUGAAAUUCUUGGAUUUAUAGAAGACGAACUACUGCGAAAGCAUUUACCAAGGAUGUUUUCAUCG